CUGUGAUUAAGUUAUUUUGGUACCUGGCAAUACUUUUCUUUUGGGGCUGUGUUUUUCACAGAUAACUGCCACCUACAGUACUUGAGUAGGGCAACUUAUGAAAACGUUUGCAUGUAACACAAUGCACACUUACUGGCCAGUUUAAUAGGAACCUUUGUACACCUGCUUAUUUAUGCAGUUAUCAGCCAAUGAUGUGUCAGCAGUGCAGUGCACAAAAUUAUGCAGGUACUGGUCAGUGCUUCAGUUAAUGUUCACAUUAAACACCAGAAUGGGGGAGAAAUGGGAUCUCAACGAUGUUGACCAUGCCAUGGAUGUUAAUGCACGUCUACAGUAACUCGUUUCGUCAUUUUGACGAAUGGGAUACAACAGCACCACUCUGGGUAAACUCUGGAGACUGUUGUGUGUAAUGUGUGACGUGAAUAUUUACUGAAACUCUUGAACCUGUACAUGCAUUGUCCUGUUGCCACAUGAUUGGCUGAUUGAAUAAUUGCAUGAAUGAGUAGGUGUACAGGUGUUCCUAAUAAUGUGGAUGGUGAUUGUAUAUCAUGGAAAUUAUGCCUGCUAAAAGAAUGUUAGGAAAAGGAGGGAAAAUGAAACAUUCAACACCGAAGUAUAUUUAAUGUCUAAUUGCUUAAUUGUUGUUGUGAGCCAUGACGGAGAUGGCCAGUGUUAUAGAAGAUACCAGUGAUAUUUUAAACUAGUCACAAUUACUUUGCUGUAAUCUACCACAGUAUGGAUUAUAUACUGUCAUAUGCUUAGGAACUUAUACAUGGACCAUUGGAGGAUUCUGUGGAUAAUGGAAUGCAUAAAGCCUGUUAUCCAGUUGCUGCUCAAGUAAAGACAAUGGACCAGUGACAAUGGACAAGUGUGAAGCACUUUUUGUGUUUGUGUGAAUACUACAGUUCUCCAUGAGAACGCAAGAUGAACUCAAAUGGAAUAAGACUCUCGCUCAACCCUUUUUGCAUUUAUCACACCACAUUGGUGUUCCAAGACUCUGAGCUGGACUACUGGAGUCAUUUACUUAGAGCCAUAAAUCUGCUCUUUUGGAUUCUACAGGAAUGAACUGUGAAAGAAAGUCACACGUUUAAAAAAAAAAAAAAAAAAAAAAAAAAAAAACUGGAUCUCACCUCAUGUCUACUGGACCAGUAACAGUCUCUAUCUAAAAGUGGCCUUAGAUACAUGUACUAGGAUGAGUUGGGUGCACGGGUGAAUACAUGGCUGUAUGUAUUGUAUGACAUGACCACACAACAUUACCUGUUUCUUUGAGUCUGGGAUAAAUCUAAGCCUCAUACCUCCUACAAGUGAAACAUAACAGUAGUGAUUUGCUAUGAAAGUUGAAAUGUAGUGAUGUUGAACUACUGUUUAAUCAUUUGUUUAUUGCAAUAAGAGACAAGCCAUUGUGUUACUUUGUGAACCAGCAUCUGUAAAGUAUUAAACUAUUAUCUAACCCUUACAUCAUGAGGGUGGGGAG
ensembl:lncRNA